GCGCAGCAGGCGCGAAAACUCCGCAAUGCGCGAAAGCGUGACGGGGUCACCUCGAGUGCCGUCCGCUGAGGAUGGUUUUUGCCCGGCUUAACCAGCCGGGUGAAUAAGGGGAGGGCAAGUCUGGUGUCAGCCGCCGCGGUAAUACCAGCUCCCCGAGUGGUUGGGACGAUUAUUGGGUCUAAAGCGUCCGUAGCCGGCCGGAAAAGUUCCCCGUUAAAUCUGACGAUCCAAUCGUCGGGCUGCGGGGAAUACUCUUCGGCUUGGAGGCGAGGGAGGUCGGCGGUAGUCUCGGGGUAGGGGCGAAAUCCUAUAAUCCCGAGAGGACCACCAGUGGCGAAGGCGGCCGACUAAAGCGCGCACGACGGUGAGGGACGAAAGCUGGGGGAGCGAACGGGAUUAGAUACCCCGGAGUCC
rnacentral:rRNA from 1 species